ensembl:snoRNA small nucleolar RNA SNORA79
UGAUGACCGUUCCUCUUGCUGCCGCGAGCCAUGGGCAGCGGGAUUUUGUGUCAUCGCAGAUUAAACGUGGCCUUUCUUCACUCAGAGUGCCCUUGGAUGGGUUGGCCGUCCGGUGGCACCUUCUGAAUUUUGCGGGGUCAGAAAAAA